GACACCUUAAUCCAACAUCGAGGUCGCAAACCCUUCUUUCAAUGUGAACUCUCCAGAAAGAUUACGCUGUUAUCCCUGUGGUAACUUUUUCCGAUAAUCAGCAAUGCUGGAUCACUUGUUAGUAAACCAAAAUUCUACAAAUUAACAGAGAAGCUUUUCAUGUUCCCUAGUCACCCCAACUAAAGAUGUAAGAAUAAAUUUAAAAUCCUCUAUUCUAAUAGAAACAACCCCUUUAUUCCACACUAAAGCUCAACAGGGUCUUCUCGUCCCUCAGCUAAAUAUAAGCCUUUUCACUUAGAAGUUAAUUUUUAAAUAUUCCAGGAGAGACAGCUCAGCCCUCGUCAAACCAUUCAUACCAGCCUCCAAUUAAAAGGCAAGUGAUUGUGCUACCUUUGCACGGUCAGUGUACCGCGGCCGUUU
rnacentral:rRNA from 1 species